GACGAACCGUGCGAACGUUGUUCGGAAUCACUGGGCUUAAAGGGCGCGUAGGCGGGCCGGACGGUCCGGGGUGAAAUCCCCCCGCUCAACGGGGGAACGGCUCCGGAUACCGCCGGCCUCGAGGGGGGUAGGGGCGAGCGGAACGCUGGGUGGAGCGGUGAAAUGCGUUGAUAUCCAGCGGAACUCCGGUGGCGAAGGCGGCUCGCUGGGCCCUCUCUGACGCUGAGGCGCGAAAGCCAGGGGAGCGAAUGGG
rnacentral:rRNA from 1 species